rnacentral:rRNA from 1 species
UACGAAGGGGGCUAGCGUUGCUCGGAAUCACUGGGCGUAAAGCGCACGUAGGCGGAUUGCUAAGUCAGGGGUGAAAUCCUGGAGCUCAACUCCAGAACUGCCUUUGAUACUGGCGACCUUGAGUCCGGGAGAGGUGAGUGGAACUGCGAGUGUAGAGGUGAAAUUCGUAGAUAUUCGCAAGAACACCAGUGGCGAAGGCGGCUCACUGGCCCGGUACUGACGCUGAGGUGCGAAAGCGUGAGGAGCAAACAGG